rnacentral:rRNA from 1 species
ACGACCACAGGAAGUGGAAAACAGAGCUUCCCGUCCGCUCAGCUGUACUUAAGCCACUUGCCGGUCGGUUAGUAGUUGGGUGGCUGACCACCAGCGCAUCCCGACUGUUGUUGGUC